GGGAGACCGGGUACAAAAGUAACGGCGGGUCGAAAGUAACAAAUGCUCUCUAGAUUCAUCCAAUGGUCGAACACAGCUUCGCCGCCGUCAGGCGAUAGCUGAAAGCGCCCCCCUCACUUGUAGUUAGUCGCCGCGUACUUAAAGCACUGUUAGGUUGUGUGAGAGGAUACUACGUAGUUUUACAAACCAAAAAAUGCCGCGACAACGCAUAAGAACAACUACACGACACAUAAGUGUAUAGAAAAGCGGCGGAUAAUUUUUUUUCUGAAAGGUGGCACGAUAGU